GUGUACCUGCCCUGCAGGUGUUAGCAGAUGGAGAAGUUAGACCGACAAUUAGAUUUUUAUGGGAGCUUGAUUCUGGUUAUGGUGAGUGCGUGCCGGGAAACCGGAGGCUAUAGCCUUUCCAUAGAGCACCCACCUAUGAACAUGGGAUCUAAUUUUUCCUCUCUCACCGCAAGGGCGGGAUUUAA
rnacentral:other from 1 species